rnacentral:rRNA from 1 species
AGCUCCAAUAGCGUAUAUUAAAGUUGUUGCAGUUUAAAAGCUCGUAGUUGGGUUUCUGGUGUGAGGGAACGGUCCGACCUCUGGUGGGUACUUGCUUCCUCUCACGCCAUCCUUGAGUGGUGCGUUCUGGCAUUCAGUUGUCGGGACGUUAGCCGCUCAUCGUUUACUGUGAGAAAAUUAGAGUGUUCAAAGCAGGCUUAUGCCGUUGAAUAUAUUAGCAUGGAAUAAUAAGAUAGGACUUCGGUACUAUUUUGUUGGUUUGCGCACCGAUGUAAUGAUCAAUAGGGACAGUUGGGGGUAUUCGUAUUCAGUUGUCAGAGGUGAAAUUCUUAGAUUUACGGAAGACGAACUACUGCGAAAGCAUUUACCAAGGAUGUUUUCA